GGGGAAAAUGAUUUAAUCAAUUUUAGAAUAAGGCUGUAACCUAACAUAAUGUGAAAAAAGUCAAGGGCUCUGAAUACUUUCCGAAGGCACUGUACCGUAUAUCUGGUAUUAGUAUCAGAUUUUUUGGGAGUGGAGGCAACGAUUUAUGAAUAUGUGCACACACACACACACACACAUGCACAAGACACAAACAACACUCACCCACACAAGCAUCCAAUGUGUGAAACAAACAGAGGCAUACAUUGCUGCCCCCCCAGAAUCCCGCCCCUGUCGUAAUGGGGGUGUGUGUGUCUCUUUGACCUCUGACCUUGCUGGGUUCCGCUGCCUGUGCCCCCCCUAUACCACCGGGACAUACUGUGAAACACAGCUAACACAGGUACUACCACAUAGAAUAGACAUUUAAACUAUUCUAGAUUAGUGUAUUAGACUAGACAAAACUUGACCAUACUAGUGGAGUGUGUUGGUGUGAUUCUUGUGUGAUCCUUGUGGCUGCUUGGUUUAUCUAACAGGUCAGCAGAACAUUUGACAGGCUUGAGGUGGGUCAGAACUCUGACAGGCAUGCUGGCAGCCCCGUCCAGAGGGCAGCUGUAGAGGUCAGAGUUCACCUCAGCGUCGCUGGUCCUUCAGCCCCGCCCAUGGCCGCUGUGACCACUUCCUGUUCUGCACAGGAAACAGCAACAACAACUUCCGCUCCCUCGAGGCCUGUCAGGAGCAGUGCAUGAUGGGAGCCUGCUGCUUCCGCCUGCCCAAACCGAGCCCUCUCGUUGGCUACGACAGCCAGGGCAAUGGUCGCCAUGGAUACAACACAACCUCCAACCAGGAGCAGAGUGGAAGGGGCCAAAAGGAGGAAGAGGCAUGGUUUGGAGAAAUAACUGACAAGAGGACAUUGGAGGAGGACGGAUCUGAUCACUUUGGUUACCAGUGGUUCAACCUGACCAGGCCAGACCAGCAGAGAGAAAGAAAGGAGGAGAGAGGGAGAGAGAAAAAUGCUAGUGGGUUUGACGGGACGGAUGCUGAUUUCACCUACAGCUGUGAGUACCUGUCUGUGUCAGCCUGUCAGGCCAGGGUCAGGGACCUGCAGGGAGAGGGAGAGGCUGUGAGUUUCUCCCCCGGCCAGCGCUGCUCUGAGGUGGGUUGCGUCCACGCCUGUGGCUGCCUCUACCAUAGCCUGCCACGGAGCUACGGGGAGGGGUUCAGGCAUGGCUGUGAAGAGUGUUUGUGUGAUCAAAGCGGAGCGGUGCAGUGUGGGUGUAGUCAACUGACACAGCGGAAGGAGAUACGAGACCUGACCCUGAAAGAGAGACGCCAGUACCAACGAGCCAUCAGGAGGCUCUACGCACAGCCAGGUGUAUGGGACGGUUUCACCAAGCUGAGAGCUGAGUUCUCCCCUCAGGCUGGUGGCCACACCUACUUCCUGCCCUGGCAGCGCUACUUCCUGCGGGUGGUGGAGCAGGAGCUCCAGGCUGUGUCGUCAUGCCAACUGGGUGUUCCGUACUUCGAGUGGACGGUCGACUCUGGGGAUCUUUUGACCUCAGCUGUCUGGCAGGCCGAGAUUUUUGGAGGAGACGGAGAGAGAGAGGGGAAUGGCGAGAGGGAAAGGGAUGAAGAGAGGGAUAGAGCGAGUGAGGGGGAUGGAGAGCAAGAGAGCAACUCUGUCUCAGGCUGUGUCCCCCACCACUCCUUCCAGGGCUUGUCUGCACGGUUCCACUGGUCCCCCUGUCUACGACGGAGCUUCAACACCUCGGUGUCUGUGCCUGACGCGGUGAGCGUCCAGAGGCUACUGUCCCAGGGAAACUUCCUGUCGUUCUCCCAGGCUCUGCAGGGGCUGUCUGGGCUAUUUAGGCUCUGGGUGGGGGGCCACAUGGCCUCUCCUCUGGCCGCCUAUGACCCCCUCUACCUCUCACACGCCGCUUUCAUCGACAAGCUCUGGACACACUGGCAGGACAGGCACAGAGACGUGCACACUCAUGAAGAAGCUCAUGGGCACACUCACCUACACACCCAGUACCCGGUGAGGCAGCGCCACGUCAAGAUGAAGCCGUUCGGCAUUGCUCCUGAUGAUGUGAUGUCUUCACGGGAACAACUGUGUGUGGUGUAUGUACCCAUAACCCUCGGAGCUCCCUGCAAUGUGACAUCAUCACUCCUUGCCGAAAGAGGGAAGGGCCGCCACAGAGGAGCGAAAGACACUGCCAGCUAUCACAGAAAGAGACAAGAUACACAAAACAACCAUAAACAUAGCACCUAUGAUUACAAUGCACAAGGCUAUGAUGGCUUUGACCACAGUGGUUACAAUCGCAAUGGAUAUGACAGACAAGGUUUCAACCGCAUGGGCUGGGACCGG
rnacentral:lncRNA from 1 species